rnacentral:rRNA from 1 species
AAAGCCGGAUUCAUCCCGCAUCCUAUCUACGGAUGAAAGCGGGGGAUCGCAAGACCUCGCGCUAUAGGGGCGGCCGAUGGCGGAUUAGCUAGUUGGUGGGGUAAAGGCCCACCAAGGCGACGAUCCGUAGCUGGUCUGAGUAGGACGACCAGCCACACUGGGACUGAGACACGGCCCAUACUCCUACGGGAGGCAGCAGUGGGGAAUUUUGGACAAUGGGCGCAAGCCUGAUCCAGCAAUGCCGCGUGUGUGAAGAAGGCCUUCGGGUUGUAAAGCACUUUUGUCCGGAAAGAAAUCCUCUGGGUUAAUACCCCGGGGGGAUGACGGUACCGGAAGAAUAAGCACCGGCUAACUACGUGCCAGCAGCCGCGGUAAUACGUAGGGUGCGAGCGUUAAUCGGAAUUACUGGGCGUAAAGCGUGCGCAGGCGGUGAUGU